rnacentral:lncRNA from 1 species
CUUCGGAUGGACGCGGAAGCCGGGAGGCUGGAGAAAAAGCAGGAAGGCGCAGUCGCAGCGCGCACUUGGUAUGGACGAAAGAAGAGCAAGUCGGCCUAGGUGGCGCCCAGAAAGUGAGUCGUGUUUGAGUGCCGGCAAGAGAGGCAAGAGCGGCGUCGACAGUGUGAGCGUGCUGCAAGGAGUGGGUCUGGUGGGCCGAGUGCCCACGCCGUGCGCGCGCGCACGCGACUCCGGCGACGACAACGGCGACUCCAAAGAAAGCAACGAACAACGUGAGGAGAGCCCGAACGCAGUGGCAGCGCGGAGAGGAAAAGAGCAGAAGGCAAAACAAACGGGCCUGGUGGGCGGACCCGGGGCGCGCUGCGUCAAACGCAGCCACCAUUUGGCACCCGUAUGUGGGAGUGCCGUCUUACUUAGGGCGCCGCUCGACGACUACUGCGCUUCACUGUGGGCAUGCGACAGGGCGCGCGUCAAGCGAAAUACAAAGCGUGCGGAGAUGUUCUGCAGAGGCGCUCUUCCGCACUGGAGUAGGAGUUCUAGACCGGUGUUCCUAUUUCCGAGAAAGGAGCCCUACAUGGAUUGACGGGCGGCGUAGUAAUGACCGUUGGCCGCCCUGAUAUACCAUGGCAAAGAGAGAGAGAGAGAGAGAGAGAGAGAGAGAGAGAUAGGCAGUUCCCGCAUCGAUAUCGUGUGGUUUCAGGGAAGAAGCGGAUGCAGAGGAAGAAUCGGAAGACCAGUGGGAGGCUCUGCUGGUGACGCAAGACGCUGACAACCAGCUACGGUUGGUGAACAGGGCUCGGGCGGCGGCAGCGAGCCAUGGCUACCUGGACUGAGGAGGCCACCCACCUUUGGGCUCAAGAAGCCUGGUCUAGCAAUAAAGUUUAUUUCUCUCUCA